UGUACAGAUCCUCAAUGGAAGGCAGUGUCAUGGAUCCAUCCCUGGACCCCACUCCAGAUGUGAGUUCGGAGGAGGAGGUUGUGUUCCUGUGCCUCUCCCUGACUGUGUGUGGAUCCCACUAAUCUGCUUGGAGCCCUGUCAAUUUGGGAAUGUGAUCCGGUGGGACCAGGAGGUGAAACAGAUCCGUUGGGUCCUUGGGAACAUCAUUGCCACAGACCGGUGCUCGGUUGUGUCCUGGGAACACAAGAUGGUUGUUUUACCAUUCUUGUUUUACUUUAACUACUGAUUGUGUUUUGUUUUGUGCUGUUUUUGUUUUUAUUGCUGUUAGCCAACCAUCACAAUAUGAUGUAACUAUAACUUGAAUUAAAUAAAUGAAGAAAUUGUAUUCUUCCGUA